UUAAGCGACUAAGCGUACACGGUGGAUGCCCUGGCAGUCAGAGGCGAUGAAGGACGUGCUAAUCUGCGAUAAGCGUCGGUAAGGUGAUAUGAACCGUUAUAACCGGCGAUUUCCGAAUGGGGAAACCCAGUGUGAUUCGUCACACUAUCAUUAACUGAAUCCAUAGGUUAAUGAGGCGAACCGGGGGAACUGAAACAUCUAAGUACCCCGAGGAAAAGAAAUCAACCGAGAUUCCCCCAGUAGCGGCGAGCGAACGGGGAGCAGCCCAGAGCCUGAAUCAGUGUGUGUGUUAGUGGAAGCGUCUGGAAAGGCGUGCGAUACAGGGUGACAGCCCCGUACACAAAAAUGCACAUAUUGUGAGCUCGAUGAGUAGGGCGGGACACGUGGUAUCCUGUCUGAAUAUGGGGGGACCAUCCUCCAAGGCUAAAUACUCCUGACUGACCGAUAGUGAACCAGUACCGUGAGGGAAAGGCGAAAAGAACCCCGGCGAGGGGAGUGAAAAAGAACCUGAAACCGUGUACGUACAAGCAGUGGGAGCACGCUUAGGCGUGUGACUGCGUACCUUUUGUAUAAUGGGUCAGCGACUUAUAUUCUGUAGCAAGGUUAACCGAAUAGGGGAGCCGAAGGGAAACCGAGUCUUAACUGGGCGUUAAGUUGCAGGGUAUAGACCCGAAACCCGGUGAUCUAGCCAUGGGCAGGUUGAAGGUUGGGUAACACUAACUGGAGGACCGAACCGACUAAUGUUGAAAAAUUAGCGGAUGACUUGUGGCUGGGGGUGAAAGGCCAAUCAAACCGGGAGAUAGCUGGUUCUCCCCGAAAGCUAUUUAGGUAGCGCCUCGUGAAUUCAUCUCCGGGGGUAGAGCACUGUUUCGGCAAGGGGGUCAUCCCGACUUACCAACCCGAUGCAAACUGCGAAUACCGGAGAAUGUUAUCACGGGAGACACACGGCGGGUGCUAACGUCCGUCGUGAAGAGGGAAACAACCCAGACCGCCAGCUAAGGUCCCAAAGUCAUGGUUAAGUGGGAAACGAUGUGGGAAGGCCCAGACAGCCAGGAUGUUGGCUUAGAAGCAGCCAUCAUUUAAAGAAAGCGUAAUAGCUCACUGGUCGAGUCGGCCUGCGCGGAAGAUGUAACGGGGCUAAACCAUGCACCGAAGCUGCGGCAGCGACGCUGAUGCGUUGUUGGGUAGGGGAGCGUUCUGUAAGCCUGUGAAGGUGUGCUGUGAGGCAUGCUGGAGGUAUCAGAAGUGCGAAUGCUGACAUAAGUAACGAUAAAGCGGGUGAAAAGCCCGCUCGCCGGAAGACCAAGGGUUCCUGUCCAACGUUAAUCGGGGCAGGGUGAGUCGACCCCUAAGGCGAGGCCGAAAGGCGUAGUCGAUGGGAAACAGGUUAAUAUUCCUGUACUUGGUGUUACUGCGAAGGGGGGACGGAGAAGGCUAUGUUGGCCGGGCGACGGUUGUCCCGGUUUAAGCGUGUAGGCUGGUUUUCCAGGCAAAUCCGGAAAAUCAAGGCUGAGGCGUGAUGACGAGGCACUACGGUGCUGAAGCAACAAAUGCCCUGCUUCCAGGAAAAGCCUCUAAGCAUCAGGUAACAUCAAAUCGUACCCCAAACCGACACAGGUGGUCAGGUAGAGAAUACCAAGGCGCUUGAGAGAACUCGGGUGAAGGAACUAGGCAAAAUGGUGCCGUAACUUCGGGAGAAGGCACGCUGAUAUGUAGGUGAAGCGACUUGCUCGUGGAGCUGAAAUCAGUCGAAGAUACCAGCUGGCUGCAACUGUUUAUUAAAAACACAGCACUGUGCAAACACGAAAGUGGACGUAUACGGUGUGACGCCUGCCCGGUGCCGGAAGGUUAAUUGAUGGGGUCAGCGCAAGCGAAGCUCUUGAUCGAAGCCCCGGUAAACGGCGGCCGUAACUAUAACGGUCCUAAGGUAGCGAAAUUCCUUGUCGGGUAAGUUCCGACCUGCACGAAUGGCGUAAUGAUGGCCAGGCUGUCUCCACCCGAGACUCAGUGAAAUUGAACUCGCUGUGAAGAUGCAGUGUACCCGCGGCAAGACGGAAAGACCCCGUGAACCUUUACUAUAGCUUGACACUGAACAUUGAGCCUUGAUGUGUAGGAUAGGUGGGAGGCUUGGAAGUGUGGACGCCAGUCUGCAUGGAGCCGACCUUGAAAUACCACCCUUUAAUGUUUGAUGUUCUAACGUUGACCCGUAAUCCGGGUUGCGGACAGUGUCUGGUGGGUAGUUUGACUGGGGCGGUCUCCUCCUAAAGAGUAACGGAGGAGCACGAAGGUUGGCUAAUCCUGGUCGGACAUCAGGAGGUUAGUGCAAUGGCAUAAGCCAGCUUGACUGCGAGCGUGACGGCGCGAGCAGGUGCGAAAGCAGGUCAUAGUGAUCCGGUGGUUCUGAAUGGAAGGGCCAUCGCUCAACGGAUAAAAGGUACUCCGGGGAUAACAGGCUGAUACCGCCCAAGAGUUCAUAUCGACGGCGGUGUUUGGCACCUCGAUGUCGGCUCAUCACAUCCUGGGGCUGAAGUAGGUCCCAAGGGUAUGGCUGUUCGCCAUUUAAAGUGGUACGCGAGCUGGGUUUAGAACGUCGUGAGACAGUUCGGUCCCUAUCUGCCGUGGGCGCUGGAGAACUGAGGGGGGCUGCUCCUAGUACGAGAGGACCGGAGUGGACGCAUCACUGGUGUUCGGGUUGUCAUGCCAAUGGCACUGCCCGGUAGCUAAAUGCGGAAGAGAUAAGUGCUGAAAGCAUCUAAGCACGAAACUUGCCCCGAGAUGAGUUCUCCCUGACUCCUUGAGAGUCCUGAAGGAACGUUGAAGACGACGACGUUGAUAGGCCGGGUGUGUAAGCGCAGCGAUGCGUUGAGCUAACCGGUACUAAUGAACCGUGAGGCUUAACCUU
rnacentral:rRNA from 1 species